rnacentral:rRNA from 1 species
UACAGAGGGGGCAAGCGUUGUUCGGAAUUACUGGGCGUAAAGGGCGCGUAGGCGGCCUGCUAAGUCGAACGUGAAAUCCCCGGGCUCAACCCGGGAACUGCGUCCGAUACUGGCAGGCUUGAAUUCGGGAGAGGGAUGUGGAAUUCCAGGUGUAGCGGUGAAAUGCGUAGAUAUCUGGAGGAACACCGGUGGCGAAGGCGGCAUCCUGGACCGGUAUUGACGCUGAGGCGCGAAAGCUAGGGGAGCAAACGGG